rnacentral:rRNA from 1 species
UACGUAGGGGGCAAGCGUUAUCCGGAAGUUAUUGGGCGGUAAAGAAGCUCGUAGGCGGUUUGUCGCGUCUGCCGUGAAAGUCCGGGGCUCAACUCCGGAUCUGCGGUGGGUACGGGCAGACUAGAGUGAUGUAGGGGAGACUGGAAUUCCUGGUGUAGCGGUGAAAUGCGCAGAUAUCAGGAGGAACACCGAUGGCGAAGGCAGGUCUCUGGGCAUUAACUGACGCUGAGGAGCGAAAGCAUGGGGAGCGAACAGG